rnacentral:lncRNA from 1 species
CGUGAUGGGAAAGAAGCGAGUGCACCUCAUUGAUUUCCGCAUACCACAUCUGUAUGGAUGUCAUAUUAGUCCGUGUCGAGCCAAUCUCGUAUCAGUCCGUGUAAGUGUCAUAUUACAACGGUCCCUGAAAAAAUUUGUAAAUGUCCAAGAAGAACAGCAAUAGGUCACUGAGCAGGCCAAGCAACAUGGUGUAAAGUUGGAGAAGUUGGAAGUGGUUUACGCUAAUAAUUUGGAAGAAGUGGAUGCGUCUAUGUUGGAUUUCAGAAGAACAGAGGAUGAGGCUGUGGUCGUCUUCUAUCUCUUUAAAUGGAUGAUGUAAAGCAAUAUGUUAGGAUUACACUUUGACAUUGCAAAUUCUGUUGAGCAACAAUUUCAACGGUUAUCUGUGCCUUUGGGCCCAUGGGAGGAGGUGGUGGCGGCAGCGAUGAUGACGGAGGAGAUUGCUCUUGGGCAUUAUUUGUAAUCUGUGGAUGAAUGUCCAUUAAUUUUAAUUUGUUGUGUAUCAAAAUAUACUUCUAUAUGAAAAAGAGAAGGGCGUGACUAAAAUUGAAAUUUUGAUUGGCUAUUUAUAAGUAGAUGUAUUAAAAAUUAAAAAGAAAAAAAGAAUAAGAAAACAAUGUCGGAUGUCGGAUACUUUUAGGUUGGUUUUCAAACCUAUCUAAAAAUAAAAUCUAAAUUUUAAUUUAAUUAAUUAACAUAAUUAUUUUAAAAAGAUAGUAUCUAGUAAGGAAUUUAAAUUUUAAUAUUUAUAAUUUUUUAUUUUUAAAUUAUUAUUUUUUUAUAAAAAAUAAAAUACAAAGUUUAUUAAAUGUUUUCAGAUAACCGAACUAAGAACAAGUAAAAUAUACUAUCAUAGGAUGAAAUCAGUUUACAGCUUUACAGACUAUCAUAUUGGUUUGAAAAGAAGAAAAUUAAUGUAAGCUAUAGUAAAGAUUUCUAAAUAUUUGAUGGAUUUAAUUUGUAGUUUUUAAUUUUUCAUAAGACACAAAUUUGGACAUGACUUGAAAAGAACAACCAUUUAGGGUUUGAUGACUAUUGAAAGGAAAAAAAGACAUAAAUAUAAAAAAAGUUUCUUAAUUAAAAUUAAAUAAUUUUUUAAGUUUCUAUCAUUUUAUUAUAAUUAAUUAACUAAGUCUUUAUUAGACAAAAUUACUUAAUAAUCAAUAUUUUUUUCAAUCAAAAAUUUAAUUGGAUAAAAAUAAAUAUUCAAAAAUUUAAUUAGAUAAAAAUAAAUAUUUAAUGAUUUAAUUACAUGAAAAUAAAUAUUUAAAAAUUCAGUUGAAUGUAAUAAAAUAUUAAGAACUUAGAUAAUUAUUUAAUUUUUAUUAAAAACAUUUUUUUAUAUUUAACCCAAGAAAAAACUUUUUGAACGAUGCAUAAUUUUUUCUUUGUUUUGGUUGACCAAUCCAAAUUCACAUUAAAAACAGGAUAGAUUACUUGUCGGACCAAAAUUCGGAGUAAUUAAGGGGUUGUGGUCAAUUUUAUGUUUUAUAUCAUAUAUUUUUAAAUAUUUUAUUUUAUUUUUUUAUUUAAUUAAAGUUGAAAACACAUAUAAGAAUUAGCAUUUUGUUAAGAAUAUUAAAAAACAAAGGACCACGUAAAGAAGUAAUUAUGGGCAUGGGUUGUGAAAGUGGCAGUGGUUUGAAUCUAAGAAAUGGCAGUUUUGAUGAUUUUUUUUUAAUUUUUUUGCAUUAAAAUUGAUAUUGUUCAUGCGCAAUUACUGUUCACCCGCAUAAUAAAUGUGAUGAAAAUAUUUUCAAUAUAUUGAAAACAUGUUUUUUUCACUUUCAACAAUUUUUAAAAUUUUAUUUUUAAUUUUUAUUUAAAAAAACCUAUCAAACAUAAUUUUGUUUCUAAUUUUUAAAAAUGUAAAAUUAAAAACAUAAAAAAUAAAAUAAAAACAUCUCCAGACGAGUUCUAAACUUUUCUUCGGUCAUUCAUGAAUCAUAGUUACGAAAGUUUACAUAUUUCAUUAAAAAAAAGUGACAUCUACAAGUACAACUAUAUUUUAAUAAAAAAUACUAACAAAUAAUUUUACUAUUAUUUAAUUAAAAAUAUAAAUUUGUUAGAUUAAUAUAUUUGAUGCAAACAAGAAAUUAAUCCGUCUUAACAUGUUUUAUCAUUAUUAAAAUAUCACAUCAUUCAAAUUGAAGAUAAAAAUCUUUAUCAAUUAUUUUUAAAUCAUUUUAUUUUUUAAUAAAAAUGCAAGAAAAUAUUCAUUAAAAUCAAAUAAUGAAAAUCGGUGGAAUUGAGAAAGUAGAAACAUAAAAUUUAAAUUUCCACUGAAAGUAAACGUUUAUAUAGAAAAUUUUGUACAGAAACAAAACAAAAUGUGACUCAUAUUUGGAUUGGAAAAUUUAUGGUCAAUGAAAAGAAGAUAGUUGUAGCAAUUUCUAGGAAGGGGAGGUUACUUCAAUGAACCCAAAAAGCAAAAUGGAAAAAGACGGUUCAAUGUUUAAACAGUUUGUGGGGACUGAGAUGCUUUCGCUUUAAUUUAUUGGUCUGUCAAUACCGCGUGAAGUGUGGGGACUGGGGACCACCACAACAACGAAUGACGCGCUAUUGCUUUUGCUGGAAUAGUUUCAUCAUCUAUUUGUAUACUCAAGUUCAUCCGUAGCUACAUCCUUCAACCCCAAAUUUCUACUAGUAUUUGCCUACGGUGAUGGCCUCUUCUGCUUUUCCGGUCUUACUAGACUGCGCUCGAGCUAUUGAAGUUGGGGAUCUGAAACUUGCCGAUUCACUGCUUGGGCAGAUCUGGACUCUUGCAGCUGACGAACCCGACGAAAAACAAAGGACGGUUGUGAAAUACUUUGCAGAAGCUCUAGUUCGCGAGCGUACGGACUCCAUCCUGACUUUGCCUAUUUCAAAUUGCAGACGACUCCUCCAUUGUAUUUACGGUAUUGGGAUGGUAUUGAUGAAGGGAGUAUCGAUGAUGCCAUCAACAACACCGUGAUGGGAAAGAAGCGAGUGCACCUCAUUGAUUUCCGCAUACCACAUCUCUAUUACACUGAAGACUUGUUUGAUUUACUAACCGAUGCUUUUGACGAUCUCAUAUCAGUCCGUGUAAGUGUCAUAUUACCACCGUCUCUGAAAAAAUUUGUAAAUGUCCAAGAAGAAAAGGAUUAUAUCACUGAGGCGGUCGCGCAAUAUAAAUUUAAGUUGGAGAAGUUUGAAGUUGUUUACGCUAAUAGUUUGGAAGAAGUGGGUGAGUCUAUGUUGGAUUUCAGAAGAACAGAGGAUGAGGCUGUGGUCGUCUUCUAUUUCUUUAAAC